rnacentral:rRNA from 1 species
AGAACGAACGCUGGCGGCAGGCUUAACACAUGCAAGUCGAGCGCCCCGCAAGGGGAGCGGCAGACGGGUGAGUAACGCGUGGGAACAUACCCUCCGGUUCGGAAUAGCUCAGGGAAACUUGGAUUAAUACCGGAUACGGCCUAGCGGCGAAAGAUUGAUCGCCGGAGGAUUGGCCCGCGUCUGAUUAGCUAGUUGGUGGGGUAAUGGCCCACCAAGGCGACGAUCAGUAGCUGGUCUGAGAGGAUGAUCAGCCACAUUGGGACUGAGACACGGCCCAAACUCCUAACGGGAGGCAGCAGUGGGGAAUAUUGGACAAUGGGCGCAAGCCUGGAUCCAGCCAUGCCGCGUGAGUGAUGACGGCCUUAGGGUUGUAAAGCUCUUUCGCUAGGGACGAUAAUGACGGUACCUAGACAAGAAGCCCCGGACUAACGUUCGACGCCAGCAGCCGC